GAGGUGGGCUAGCUUCGGAUCCACAACAGGUGGAGAGUACCGGGUGAAUCAUAGGAACGAGAGUCGCUUGUUUGACCCGAUGGAAAGCUUUGAACGAAUCCGGUGGAAGUGCCUCACUUGGUUGGGCUUCGAUAGGUGGAAAUGGUAAUGGGAUCGCCCGAGAAACCAUUGGAUCUAGGAAAUUGAUUCAUUGUUCUGCCUCUCCCACUGGUGGUGGGUGGCAACCAAAGGACUUGAAUCUAGCGUUUGUUCCGGUUGAGCUUUCAUUCCUUCGAAUAGACGGAUAGCUCUUGGAGGAAGGGAUGAGCUUUUAUCGGAAGGACCUGGCCGAUGCAAUUGAGAGACUGAGAGGAACUGGACUUGGCAGAGGAAUGCAUAGAAAUAUCUGCCUUUGCCAGGAGAAUCCAAACCUGCCUAAUAGCCUAUGAAUGUGGAAUCCCGUUCGUAUUCUUCCUCAAAGCCAUAUUUGCCUUUAUCUGAUUUCAACCUAUUGAUCUUUACUGUGCAUGGAUAUCUUGACUCAUGAUUCAACAGUUCACAUCCCCAGCGAACUCCCUCACACCAA
rnacentral:lncRNA from 1 species